GAACACGGGGUCGGUAAUUUGGUUUCAAUCGACGAUAUUAUGAACUAGAUAUAUGUAGAUAUAUAGAUAUUCUCUCCUAUCCACUAUAAGCUUUACGCGAACAAGGACCCUAAACACUACUCAUUUAAUGCAAGGUCAUGGGCCCUCUAUAAUUAUCCAAAAAUAUUAAGAAUUCUGGCGCAGUUUCCGGAUAUGAGUGUUAUCGAGCAUCAGCUGAAAUAAAAAUUCGAAAGCAUAAGAUCUCUAACAAUGAUGACUAGAGGUGGAGAAACAUCGAUACGAACAUCGAUGACAUGUUUUUGAAACAUCGGCAACAUCGAUACUUAGCUGAGCAAAAUCGAUGUUUUUCCACCUCUAAGGCACAUAGAGGAAGACAGUCGAAUUGUAAGUACAUACAUAUGUACAUAUAUCAUUUAAUCUCAUUAUAAAUUAUUAACAGAAUAUUGUUAUUUUAGUUAUACUUGUUGGUGGUGUUGGCGUGAGUGUGGUGGUACUUAAACAUGGACAGGUUUAUCAAAAGAACUGCAAGCGAACAGCCAAAGCCUGAUAAGGAUCAAAAGAAGAGGAGGCGUGAGGUUUCUAUAGCUUGGGAUCAUUUUAAAAGAAACAGCGAAAAAACGCAUGGGAUAUGCAAUUACUGUGGUAAGCCAAUAAAGACGUGUGGAAACACAACAAAUCUAAUGGACCACGUUCAUGCUGAUCGGCUUAAAGUUGGGGGAACUGCACAGAAACCAAACAUGUUAGAAUAGUUUGUUGGAAAAUCGGUUUCCUUUUAUGAAAAUGACUCGAAACAAAAACGUCUUCUAGACAGUAAGGUCAUGAACAUGAUUGCUGUCGAUGUUCAACCUUUUUCUUGUGUUGAGGACGACGGAUUUAAAGAGCUCAUGAAAGAAAUGGACCUCGCUACAGGUACACCUGCGCGACGUAGUGUUUCCAUCUCAAUAUGAGUCUCUUAAGAAUAAACUCCAGUCUGUACUUAACGAUAUUGAUUUUGUGGCCAUAACGACUGACUUGUGGACAUCCAAAGGUUACAUUACAGCUACGUGCCAUUUUGUUUUAAGUAGUUUUACGUUGGAGUCGGCAAUUUUAGCAACAAGGCAAUUUCUUGACACUACCAAUCACAAUGCUGUUAAUAUUUUUGAAACACUAAAGGGCGUGCUUGAUGAUUGGGGUGUCACCAAUAAGGUUGUUUGCGUUGUGACUGACAAUGAUGCGACGAUGCUAAAAGAAUGUGAGUUGCUUGAUUAUAAGCACUUGCCUUGUGUAGCGCACACAAUCAACCUUAUUGUGCAAGAUGUUCUAAAAUUGCCCGAUUUCGACGUAAAGCUUACAAAAUGUAAGUCGGUAGUUGGCUUUUUUAAGAGAAGCCAGAUCGCAUAUUCGAAAUUUAAGGAAGCUCAGGGGGACAAUCCGGAUUCUCUUCUGCAAGAAAUGCCAACUCGCUGGAACAGCACAUACGAAAAGAUUAAGCGCAUACCGAAGACAAACGAAUUUAUUACAUUAGCUUUGGUAUCUUCUCGUGACGCUUCAUUGCCGUUUUCAGGAGCAGAAGUGAAUAUUUUAAAUAAUAUAUCCGAGUUGCUAUCCCCCUUCGAAGUGGCGACGCUUUCUGUGUCUACAAACACAAAAGUAUCAGCGUCCAUAAUUAUCCCUGUCAUAUGCGAACUGAAUCAUAAAAUAAACAAUAUUAAAGUCAACACAGAAAAAGGCAAAAAUAAUUAACGACCAUCAAGUUUAGUCUUACCAAGAGGCUCGCAAGCUAUGAAACACGCACAAUACCACGAAUUGCUACCAUACUAGAUCCCCGCAGAUUUUGUAAUCCCCUUAAUGCGGAAGAAGGUGUCAAAGCUGUGCAGCAUGAACCGUUUACAAAACUACCUGCAAACCCACUACAUCCGCCAACAUCACCAACACAGGAACCAAGCCGAUUUUCAAUUCUACAAGUCAAAAGCCAAAACAAGGUGCACUCUUCCUGAGCAGAUGCCAUUAUCCUGAUGAGACAGCAUUUUGGAAAGGAGAACCAGCUGGAAAAAUGUGACCCUCUUGCGUACUGGCAGAUUACUAGAGAUGGCGACGCGUUUAAAACGUUAGCUAAAAAAUACUUCUGCGUUCCCGCAUCUUCGUGCGAAUCUGAAAGAGCUUUCAGUAAAGCUGGACAACUUAUAAGUGAGCGUCGCACGAAUUACGUGUUGAGUCGCGGUGAACGGGUUUUUAAAAA